rnacentral:rRNA from 1 species
GACGAACGCUGGCGGCGUGCUUAACACAUGCAAGUCGAACGAGUGGCGAACGGGUGAGUAAUACGUGAGAACCUGCCCUCCUUUUUGGGAUAAGCCUUGGAAACGGGGUCUAAUACCGAAUAGGAUGGGCUCGCGGCCUAUUAGCUAGUUGGUGGGGUAAAGGCCUACCAAGGCGACGAUCCGUAACUGGUCUGAGAGGAUGAUCAGUCACACUGGAACUGAGACACGGUCCAGACUCCUACGGGAGGCAGCAGUGGGGAAUAUUGGACAAUGGGCGAAAGCCUGAUCCAGCCAUGCCGCGUGUGUGAAGAAGGUCUUCGGAUUGUAAACCUCUUUCGCUAUCGAACGGGUAGGUGGAGAAGAAGCGCCGGCUAACUACGUGCCAGCAGCCGCGGUAAUUC